rnacentral:rRNA from 1 species
AUUGAACGCUAGCGGCAUGCCUUACACAUGCAAGUCGAACGGUAACAGGUCUUCGGAUGCUGACGAGUGGCGAACGGGUGAGUAAUACAUCGGAACGUGCCCGAUCGUGGGGGAUAACGAGGCGAAAGCUUUUCUAAUACCGCAUACGAUCUACGGAUGAAAGCGGGGGAUCUUCGGACCUCGCGCGGACGGAGCGGCCGAUGGCAGAUUAGGUAGUUGGUGGGAUAAAAGCUUACCAAGCCGACGAUCUGUAGCUGGUCUGAGAGGAUGAUCAGCCACACUGGGACUGAGACACGGCCCAGACUCCUACGGGAGGCAGCAGUGGGGAAUUUUGGACAAUGGGCGAAAGCCUGAUCCAGCCAUGCCGCGUGCAGGAUGAAGGCCUUCGGGUUGUAAACUGCUUUUGUACGGAACGAAAAGCCUCUUUCUAAUAAAGAGGGGUCAUGACGGUACCGUAAGAAUAAGCACCGGCUAACUACGUG